AUUGAACGCUGGCGGCAUGCCUUACACAUGCAAGUCGAACGGCAGCACGGGUGCUUGCACCUGGUGGCGAGUGGCGAACGGGUGAGUAAUACAUCGGAACAUGUCCUGUAGUGGGGGAUAGCCCGGCGAAAGCCGGAUUAAUACCGCAUACGAUCCACGGAUGAAAGCGGGGGACCUUCGGGCCUCGCGCUAUAGGGUUGGCCGAUGGCUGAUUAGCUAGUUGGUGGGGUAAAGGCCUACCAAGGCGACGAUCAGUAGCUGGUCUGAGAGGACGACCAGCCACACUGGGACUGAGACACGGCCCAGACUCCUACGGGAGGCAGCAGUGGGGAAUUUUGGACAAUGGGCGAAAGCCUGAUCCAGCGAUGCCGCGUGUGUGAAGAAGGCCUUCGGGUUGUAAAGCACUUUUGUCCGGAAAGAAAUCCUUGACUCUAAUACAGUCGGGGGAUGACGGUACCGGAAGAAUAAGCACCGGCUAACUACGUG
rnacentral:rRNA from 1 species